rnacentral:rRNA from 1 species
GACGAACGCUGGCGGCGUGCCUAACACAUGCAAGUCGAGCGAUGAUUCCCCUCCUUAGGGAGGCGGAGAUUAGCGGCGGACGGGUGAGUAACACGUGGGUAACCUGCCUCAAAGAGGGGAAUACCCUCCCGAAAGGGAGAUUAAUACCGCAUAAUAUGUUUUAAUCGCAUGAUUGAAACAUCAAAGGAUUCUUCUUCUUAAGAAGAAGCAUCCGCUUUGAGAUGGACCCGCGGCGCAUUAGCUAGUUGGUGAGGUAACGGCUCACCAAGGCGACGAUGCGUAGCCGACCUGAGAGGGUGAUCGGCCACAUUGGAACUGAGACACGGUCCAGACUCCUACGGGAGGCAGCAGUGGGGAAUAUUGCGCAGUGGGGGAAACCCUGACGCAGCACCGCCGCGUGAAUGAUGAAGGCCUUCGGGUUGUAAAGUUCUGUCUUCUGGGACGAUAA